AGGUUGCAGCCUCAGUCUACAGGGCACUAUAACAUGCGUACGGGGAGCCUCGGGCUCCCUGCAUGCGGUAGAUGCAUCCGGGAGGAUAGGUGGGAAGGCGUUGGAGCGGCUGGGGGCUUCGAGGCACAGAAAACAAGGGGCAUCGUCGGUGGUUGUUGGUUGGCUGGGAUCUAGCUGGCUUACGGUGGCUGAUUUAAAAUGGCCUAGGU
rnacentral:lncRNA from 1 species